CGGAGAGAAAACGAUAAGGAUAAGAAUAAAUCAAGUGUUGCAUGGCCUAACAAUUGACAUUGAAUAAAACUAUCAGUAAAAUAUCAAAGAAAACAUUGGCACCAAAAAUUUAUACUAAGAAGAAGAUGCAACAACCAUUAUACAACAAUGUUCACCAAAAUAUAUGGAAGGGAUGCCAGAAAUAGCCAUGCAAAUCAAGGUCCUUCAGUGCAUUAUUACCAGCAAAAACAAACUAUAAUUCUCACUACAAUCUGAAUCACAUAACAAAAGAUCAUUAGCCUGUUCUCCAAACACCGGUCGGUGCUUUUUCACCAUCACCCUGCUUUCGAUUCUGAUUUUGUACUAGCUUUUGCCUCUGAUUUUGAGUCUGGUCUUGCUUCCACAGACUUGGUAUCAGCUGCACAACAC
rnacentral:misc_RNA from 1 species